AGAGCGAACGCUGGCGGCAGGCCUAACACAUGCAAGUCGAGCGCCCGUAGCAAUACGGGAGCGGCAGACGGGAUAGUAACACGUGGGAGCGCGCCCUUCGGUUCGGAAUAACUCAGGGAAACUUGAGCUAAUACCGGAUACGCCCUUACGGGGAAAGAUUUAUUGCCGAAGGAACGGCCCGCGUCCGAUUAGCUAGUUGGUGAGGUAAUGGCUCACCAAGGCGACGAUCGGUAGCUGGUCUGAGAGGAUGACCAGCAUCACUGGGACUGAGACACGGCCCAGACUCCUACGGGAGGCAGCAGUGGGGAAUAUUGGACAAUGGGCGCAAGCCUGAUCCAGCCAUGCCGCGUGGAUGAUGAAGGCCUUAGGGUUGUAAAGUCCUUUUAACGGGAAGAUAAUGACGGUACCCGUAGAAUAAGCCCGGCUAACUUCGUGCCAGCAGCCGC
rnacentral:rRNA from 1 species